UUAUAGUAUUGAAUAAAGGGAAGGCAAUAUUCCGAUUCAGUGCCACCUCUGCCCUGUACAUGUUAACUCCUUUCAACCCUCUUAGAAAAAUAGCUAUUAAGAUUUUGGUACAUUCAUUAUUCAGCAUGCUUAUCAUGUGCACUAUUUUGACCAACUGUGUAUUUAUGACCAUGAGUAACCCUCCAGACUGGACAAAGAAUGUAGAAUACACAUUCACUGGAAUUUAUACCUUUGAAUCACUUAUUAAAAUUCUUGCAAGGGGCUUCUGUUUAGAAGAUUUUACAUUUCUUCGAGACCCAUGGAACUGGCUAGAUUUCACUGUCAUUACAUUUGCAUAUGUGACAGAGUUUGUGGACCUGGGCAAUGUCUCAGCGUUGAGAACAUUCAGAGUUCUCCGAGCUUUGAAAACAAUAUCAGUCAUUCCAGGCUUGAAGACAAUCGUGGGCGCCCUAAUUCAGUCUGUGAAGAAGCUGUCAGAUGUUAUGAUCCUGACUGUAUUUUGUCUGAGUGUAUUUGCACUAAUAGGGCUGCAGCUGUUCAUGGGCAACUUGAGGAAUAAAUGCCUGCAGUGGCCUCCAGACAAUUCUACAUUUGAAACAACUGUUAUUUCCUACUUUAAUAGCUCUAUAGGUGAAAAUGGCACAUUUAUUAAUAUGACAAUGACAACAUUUAACUGGGAUGAUUACAUCGAAGACAGAAGUCAUUUCUACUUCUUGGAAGGCCAAAAUGAUGCUUUGCUAUGUGGCAAUAGCUCAGAUGCAGGUCAAUGUCCAGAAGGAUAUAUAUGUGUGAAAGCUGGUAGAAACCCCAACUAUGGCUACACAAGUUUUGAUACAUUCAGUUGGGCAUUCUUGUCACUGUUUCGAUUGAUGACUCAGGACUUUUGGGAGAAUCUUUACCAGCUGACACUACGUGCUGCUGGGAAAACAUACAUGAUAUUUUUUGUUUUGGUCAUUUUCCUGGGUUCUUUCUACCUGAUUAACUUGAUCCUGGCUGUGGUUGCCAUGGCCUACGAAGAACAGAAUCAAGCAACCAUGGAAGAAGCAGAACAGAAAGAAGCAGAAUUUCAGCAAAUGCUGGAACAACUGAAAAAGCAACAGGAAGAAGCUCAGGCAGCAGCAGCAGCUGCAGCAGCUGACUCAAGAGAUUAUAGUGGAGUAGGUGGAAUAGGUGGAUUCUCCGAAAGUUCUUCAGAAGCAUCAAAACUGAGCUCAAAAAGUGCUAAAGAGAGAAGGAAUAGAAGAAAGAAAAAAAAGCAAAAAGAACAAUCUGAAGGCGAGGAGAAGGAUGGGGAAGAAUUUCACAAAUCUGAAUCAGAGGACAGCAUCAAAAGGAAAGGUUUCCGAUUUUCCAUUGAGGGGAAUAGACUGACGUAUGAAAAGAGAUUCUCUUCCCCACACCAGUCUUUGCUGAGCAUUCGAGGCUCCCUGUUUUCUCCAAGGCGCAACAGCAGAACAAGUCUUUUCAGCUUCAGAGGUCGAGCAAAGGAUGUAGGAUCAGAAAAUGACUUUGCUGAUGAUGAGCACAGCACUUUUGAAGACAAUGAGAGCAGAAGAGAUUCUCUCUUUGUUCCUCAUAGACAUGGUGAACGGCGCAACAGUAACAUUAGCCAGGCCAGCAGGUCAUCCAGGACAGUAGCUCCACUUCCAGCAAAUGGGAAGAUGCACAGCACUGUGGAUUGCAAUGGAGUAGUUUCUUUAGUCGGUGGGCCGCCAGCUUUGACGUCACCUACUGGACAGCUUCUGCCAGAGGUGAUGAUUGAUAAAGCAGCCACUGCUAGCAAUGGCACUACUACAGAAACUGAUUUAAGAAAGAGACGGUCUAGUUCUUAUCAUGCUCCUAUGGACUACUUAACAGAUCCUAGUGCAAGGCAAAGAGCCAUGAGUAUAGCCAGCAUGCUUACAAACACAAUGGAAGAAUUGGAAGAAUCCAGACAGAAAUGCCCACCAUGCUGGUAUAAAUUUGCUAACACUUGCUUGAUUUGGGACUGCUGUACUCCCUGGCUGAAAGUCAAACAUAUUGUAAAUUUGAUUGUGAUGGAUCCAUUUGUUGAUCUGGCUAUUACUAUCUGCAUUGUCCUAAACACCCUAUUCAUGGCAAUGGAGCACUAUCCAAUGACAGAACAAUUUAGUGGUGUGCUUUCAGUAGGAAACCUUGUGUUUACUGGAAUUUUCACAGCAGAAAUGUUUCUCAAGAUAAUUGCCAUGGAUCCUUAUUAUUAUUUCCAAGAGGGCUGGAAUAUUUUUGAUGGUUUUAUUGUGAGUCUUAGUUUAAUGGAGCUUGGCCUUGCAAACGUAGAAGGACUAUCUGUCCUUCGAUCAUUCCGAUUGCUUCGAGUUUUCAAAUUGGCAAAAUCUUGGCCCACUCUAAAUAUGCUGAUUAAGAUUAUUGGCAACUCAGUGGGGGCUCUGGGGAAUCUGACCCUGGUGCUGGCCAUCAUUGUGUUCAUUUUUGCUGUGGUUGGGAUGCAGCUGUUUGGGAAAAGCUACAAGGAAUGUGUCUGCAAGAUCUCCAGUGACUGUGAACUUCCACGCUGGCACAUGCAUGAUUUUUUCCACUCUCUGGAGGGGGAGACAUUUGUGCUGUGCUCUGAUUGUAUUCCGAGUGCUGUGUGGAGAAUGGAUAGAAACGAUGUGGGACUGCAUGGAGGUUGCAGGCCAAACUAUGUGCCUUACUGUCUUCAUGAUGGUCAUGGUGAUUGGAAACCUUGUGGUACUCAACCUCUUUUUGGCCUUGCUGCUGAGCUCAUUUAGUUCAGACAACCUUGCUGCUACCGAUGAUGAUAAUGAAAUGAACAAUCUCCAGAUUGCUGUGGCAAGGAUUCAGAAGGGAAUAGAUUAUGUGAAGAGAAAAGUGCGUGAAUUUAUCCAAAAAGCCUUUGUUAGAAAGCAGAAAGUUUUAGAUGAAAUCAAGCCUCUUGAAGACCUAAACAACAAAAAAGACAGCUGUAUUUCCAACCACACUAUAGUAGAUAUAGGUAAAAACCUUGCCUAUCUUAAAGAAGGGAAUGGAACUACUAGUGGCAUAGGCAGCAGCGUGGAAAAAUAUGUUGUUGAUGAAAGUGAUUACAUGUCAUUCAUAAACAACCCAAGCCUCACUGUGACAGUGCCAAUCGCUGUUGGGGAAUCAGAUUUUGAAAAUUUAAAUACAGAGGAGUUCAGCAGCGAGUCAGACCUGGAAGAAAGCAAAGAG